GACGAACGCUGGCGGCGUGCUUAACACAUGCAAGUCGAACGGCAAGGCCCUGCUUUUGUGGGGUGCUCGAGUGGCGAACGGGUGAGUAACACGUGAGUAACCUGCCCUUGACUUUGGGAUAACUUCAGGAAACUGGGGCUAAUACCGUAUAGGAGCUCCUGCUGCAUGGUGGGGGUUGGAAAGUUUCGGCGGUUGGGGAUGGACUCGCGGCUUAUCAGCUUGUUGGUGGGGUAGUGGCUUACCAAGGCUUUGACGGGUAGCCGGCCUGAGAGGGUGACCGGCCACAUUGGGACUGAGAGACGGCGCAGAGUGCUACGGGAGGCAGCAGGGGGGAAUAUUGCACAAUGGGCGGAAGCCUGAUGAAGAAACGCCGCGUGCGGGAUGACGGCCUUCGGGGUGUAAACCGCUUUAGCCUGUGACGAAGCGGGAGUGACGGUAAUGGGUAAAGAAGCACCGGCUAACUACGUG
rnacentral:rRNA from 1 species